AGUGAACGCUGGCGGUAGGCCUAACACAUGCAAGUCGAACGGCAGCACAGUAAGAGCUUGCUCUUACGGGUGGCGAGUGGCGGACGGGUGAGGAAUACAUCGGAAUCUACUUUUUCGUGGGGGAUAACGUAGGGAAACUUACGCUAAUACCGCAUACGACCUACGGGUGAAAGCAGGGGAUCUUCGGACCUUGCGCGAUUGAAUGAGCCGAUGUCGGAUUAGCUAGUUGGCGGGGUAAAGGCCCACCAAGGCGACGAUCCGUAGCUGGUCUGAGAGGAUGAUCAGCCACACUGGAACUGAGACACGGUCCAGACUCCUACGGGAGGCAGCAGUGGGGAAUAUUGGACAAUGGGCGCAAGCCUGAUCCAGCCAUACCGCGUGGGUGAAGAAGGCCUUCGGGUUGUAAAGCCCUUUUGUUGGGAAAGAAAGGCAGCAGGUUAAUACCCCGCUGUUCUGACGGUACCCAAAGAACAAGCGCCGGCUAACUUCGUG
rnacentral:rRNA from 1 species